rnacentral:rRNA from 1 species
AAUGUAUCGGAACGUACCAUUGAGUGGGGGAUAACGUAGCGAAAGUUACGCUAAUACCGCAUAUACCCUGAGGGGGAAAGCAGGGGAUCGCAAGACCUUGUGCUCUUUGAGCGGCCGAUAUCAGAUUAGCUAGUUGGUGAGGUAAAGGCUCACCAAGGCGACGAUCUGUAGCGGGUCUGAGAGGAUGAUCCGCCACACUGGGACUGAGACACGGCCCAGACUCCUACGGGAGGCAGCAGUGGGGAAUUUUGGACAAUGGGCGCAAGCCUGAUCCAGCCAUGCCGCGUGAGUGAAGAAGGCCUUCGGGUUGUAAAGCUCUUUCGGCCGGGAAGAAAUCGCACAGGUUAAUACCCUGUGUGGAUGACGGUACCGGAAUAAGAAGCACCGGCUAACUACGUGCCAGCAGCCGCGGUAAUACGUAGGGUGCGAGCGUUAAUCGGAAUUACUGGGCGUAAAGCGUGCGCAGGCGGUUUUGUAAGAUAGGCGUGAAAUCCCCGGGCUCAACCUGGGAACUGCGCUUAUGACUGCAAGGCUAGAGUAUGGCAGAGGGGGGUGGAAUUCCACGUGUAGCAGUGAAAUGCGUAGAGAUGUGGAGGAACACCGAUGGCGAAGGCAGCCCCCUGGGCCAAUACUGACGCUCAUGCACGAAAGCGUGGGUAGCAAACAGGAUUAGAUACCCUGGUACUCCACGCCCUAAACGAUGUCAACUAGGUGUUGGGUGGGUAAAACCAUUUAGUACCGGAGCUAACGCGUGAAGUUGACCGCCUGGGGAGUACGGCCGCAAGGUUAAAACUCAAAGGAAUUGACGGGGACCCGCACAAGCGGUGGAUGAUGUGGAUUAAUUCGAUGCAACGCGAAAAACCUUACCUACCCUUGACAUGUUCAGAAUCCCUGAGAGAUUGGGGAGUGCCCGAAAGGGAGCUGGAACACAGGUGCUGCAUGGCUGUCGUCAGCUCGUGUCGUGAGAUGUUGGGUUAAGUCCCGCAACGAGCGCAACCCUUGUCGUUAAUUGCCAUCAUUUAGUUGGGCACUUUAGCGAGACUGCCGGUGACAAACCGGAGGAAGGUGGGGAUGACGUCAAGUCCUCAUGGCCCUUAUGGGUAGGGCUUCACACGUCAUACAAUGGUCGGUACAAAGGGUUGCCAACCCGCGAGGGGGAGCUAAUCCCAUAAAGCCGAUCGUAGUCCGGAUCGUAGGCUGCAACUCGCCUGCGUGAAGUCGGAAUCGCUAGUAAUCGUGGAUCAGCAUGUCACGGUGAAUACGUUCCCGGGUCUUGUACACACCGCCCGUCACACCAUGGGAGCGGGUUCCGCCAGAAGUAGGUAGCCUAACCGCAAGGGGGGCGCUUACCACGGCGGGGUUCGUGACUGGGAUGAAGUCGUAACAAGGUA